GCGCCCGGUUCACGGCCUCGCGGCACAGCAGGCACAGCGCCGCGACCCCCGACUCAAAUUCCCGCCACUCAAAUUUCGGACCCCCAGACUCAGAUUGGGGGGGUUUGGGGGGCUUAGAACCGGGUUUGGGACCCCCAGACUCAAAUUCCCGCCCCCGGGGACCCCCAGACUCAAAUUGCGGGGGUUUGGGACCCCCAGACUCAAAUUCCCGGCUCCGGGGGCCCCCAGACUCAAAUUGCGGGGGUUUGGGGGGCUUAGAACCGGGUUUGGGACCCCCAGACUCAAAUUCCCGGCUCCUCGGGACCCCAGACUCAAAUUGGGGGGGUUUGGGACCCCCAGACUCAAAUUCCCGGCUCUUGGGACCCCCAGACUCAAAUUCCCGGCUCCGGGGACCCCCAGACUCAGAUUGGGGGGGUUUGGGACCCCCAGACUCAAAUUUGGGACCCCCAGACUCAGAUUGGGGGGGUUUGGGGCCCCCAGACUCAAAUUUGGGGUGUCGGGAGGGGGGUCUGGGGGUCUUAGAGCCGGGUUUGGGAGGCCUGGACCCAGAUUCGGGGGGUUUGGAACCCCCAGACUCAAAUUCGGGGGGUCUGGGGCGUUUGGAGCCACAUUUGGGACCCCCAGACUCAAAUUUGGAACCCCCAGACUCAAAUUGGGGGGGUCUGGGGUGCCUGGAGCCACAUUUGGGACCCCCAGAGUGAAACUCGAGACCCCCAGACUCAAAUUUGGCACCCCCAGACCCAGAUUUGGGAUUUUCAGACCCAAACUUGGCACCCCCAGACUCAAAUUUGGGGUUUUUGGCUGGUUUGGGACCCCCAGACCCAAAUUUGGGACCCCCAGCCCCAAAUUCGGGACCC
rnacentral:lncRNA from 1 species